ensembl:lncRNA
GUUGUGGGACCCCCUGCCUCGUGUGAGAUUAAAUCUCAGACGUCUCAUUGUAGCCUUCUGAACACAAGGAAUAGCACGUUCCUUUUGCUCCUCCUGCUUCGUGCUCAGCUGUAGAGCACCUGCAGGCUUUAGGUGCCUCUGUGAUGGACGUGUCCCUGCCGGAGAUGGAGGAGGUGCGGGUGGCGCAUGUGAUCUGCAUUCUCAGCGAGAUGAUGGAUUUCCUGCAGCCUGACUUGAACACCCACUUCCAGCAAAUGAAUCUGGAGACACGGCUCAACCUUACUGUGGCUUCCCAGUUCACAGCUCUGGAUUAUAUUAAGGCAAAUCGGCAGAGGACUCGGAGCAUGAGUUUUUUGCGAGAGAUCUUUGCCAACGUGAACUGUAUCCUCACCCCAGCCACCGCUUGCACUGCCCCAAGAAUCCAGGACUCUGACCUCUUGACAGGGAGCAACGAUAUCCUAACAACACUAAAUAGCAUGAGAUACAUGCAGCUUGGAAACUUCACAGGCAUCCCGGGUCUGGUGGUGCCAGUCGGGUACACAGCCACUGGGCUUCCCAUCAGCUUUCAGGUCAUGGCAAAGUGGUGGGACGAGGCCAUUCUUUUCCGGGUUGGCCUGAAGCUGGAGGAGUUCCGUGGCACGACCAGGAAGCCAGCCAUUUAUUACGAUGUCCUCGCAUGACGGGAGUCCCAGAAAGGAGAUGCUGUGAUUGUUCCGGUCUGAUCCCACUGAGCAUUACUGGAGAAAGGAGUUACUGCUUUUAACAUUGAUCUCAACGAGGGGUGGCGGCAGCAGCAGGGCUGUUUACAUAGUGGAAUAGUAGUUUGUUCUAGGAUAUUUAUUCCCAUCCAGGGUCAAUGCUGCCCUCAGGUGCAGGGGCUGUAAAAGGAUAGCAGUCUAUGCAUGGAUGUGGGGCUAAUGGGUGGGUGCAGAAACACACUUUAUUUUUGUAGUUAGGUUCAGUUCGAGGUGUUACAUGGAUAGGACCAGACAGGAAUGCUCUCAGAACAACUGCCUAUACGUGGGCUGUGCUAGUAAAAAUCAGCUAUGGGUGUUCAGCUCCCCCAGCCUUCCAUGGGAGGUGGGAGGACAUCCCUGGCACAAUGCAGCCCAUAGUCCUCAAGUAAAUCCUUUUGCCCUAAUUACACUCUAGAAAAGGGGAAUGAAACACUGCACUUUCCUGGGUGUUGUGUUUUUCUGUUUUGUUUGGGCAGGGGAGGCAGUAUCCUUGCUGCAGCAGGAGAGUUUUUCCACUCAGGAUAAUUUUAAUAGGAUCUGACUGCUCCUGGAGCCAAGUAGGUGGUGUAUAUAAAAUGUUGUCAUAGGACCAGUCUCUCUUGCAGUGUAGGUGAUAACUAGAGAAACUAAGCAAAACUCUGCAGGAACAUAGGAAAAUGAAGUCUUUUAAAGCUGCAUUUAGAUUUCUCCUUCCUCCUCACCUCUGCUGGCAGCAUACUCACUCAUGCCCGUCACCCCAAUCAGGGUAGGAGAUCUGUGGUUGGCUGGCAGCAUAACUUGGCAUUUUUUGUUAGGGUAGGUUUUCCCUGUGAAACUGGGAAACGUUAUGAACGGAGCCCCUCAUAGAGCCUGAGGAUGGGAUACACAGAACUGCAGAAGACCAACAAGCAUGUCUAACUGCAGCACAGCAGUAGAUAAGAGAAGGGAUAUAAUGACUCAGCCC